rnacentral:SRP_RNA from 1 species
GCCCGGCGGGGUGGUGCACGCCUGUAGUCCCAGCUACUCGGGAGGCUGAGGUGGGAGGAUUGCUUGAGUCCAAGAGUUCUGGGCUACAGUGCACUAUGCCAGUUGGGUAUCCGCACUAAGUUCGGUAUCAAUAUGGUGAUCUCCUGGGAGCGGAGGACCACCAGGUUGCCUAAGGAAGGGCGAACCAGCCCAGGUCAGAAAUGGAGCAGGUCAAAAAAGCAGCGUUCAGAGUUUGAGACUUAAGACUACUUGACAAAAACAAUUAUUUGU